rnacentral:rRNA from 1 species
CCUACGGGUGGCAGCAGUGAGGAAUAUUGGUCAAUGGACGCAAGUCUGAACCAGCCAUGCCGCGUGCAGGAAGACUGCUCUAUGAGUUGUAAACUUCUUUUUUACGAGAGUAAACUCCGAUACGCAUAUCGGUUUGCAAGUAUCUUACGAAUAAGGAUCGGCUAACUCCGUGCCAGCAGCCGCGGUAAUACGGAGGAUUCAAGCGUUAUCCGGAUUUAUUGGGUUUAAAGGGUUCGUAGGCGGGCGGAUAAGUUAGUUGUGAAAUCCCGAGGCUCAACUGUGGAAUUGCCUCUGAUACUGGUAGGCUAGAGAGUAGUUGCGGUAGGCGGAAUGUAUGGUGUAGCGGUGAAAUGCUUAGAGAUCACACAGAACACCGAUUGCGAAGGCAGCUUACUAAGCUACUUCUGACGUUGAGGCACGAAAGCGUGGGGAGCAAACAGGAUUAGAUACCCGUGUAGUC